UGCCCUGGACUGGGCGAAGUGGGAGUGCUGGGUUCUGAUGAUGGUGAGUGGUCUUGGUUCCUGUUAGUAGGAUUCCUAUGUUUACCUUUCGCCAUCUGGUAAUCUCUGGAGUUAGUAGUUAUAGUUGACUCUGUUUAGAGAUUGUUCUUCUGGUGAUUCUGUUACCUUCUCUCAGCAGACCUGGGAGACAGAUUCUCUCCUCUGAGUCUCAGUGCUCAGAGCACUCUCUGCUGGCAAGCUCUCUUACAGGGAAGGUGAGCAGAUAUCUUGUUUUUGGACCUCCUCCUGGUCGAAGAAGAAGGCCCAAACAGGGCCUCUCUCAGAAGCUGUGUUGCUUUGGCAGUUCCCAGAAGCUGUCAGCUUCUGUGGUGCAGACUCUCACCUGUGCAGACUAAAUUCCUAAGUUCCAGGGAGUCCUGGAACCAAGAUGGUGACCGCUGCUCCUGAGGCUGAGGCCGCCUACCGACCCAGGAGGACACCUGUCCUCUGGUCCGGAUGGUGGCCGGCUGUCUGCAGCCUGCAAAGGGUAUGCCUCAGCGGCUCUGUGCUUCUGCCUGUCCCAGAAGCUGUCCGGUUCUCUGGCGUAUCCUCUAACCUGUUCAGACUAAUUUCCUAGGUCCCGCGGAGUCCUGGAACCCAAAUGGCGACCGCUGCUGCUGAGGCUGAGGCUGCCUCCCAAGCCAGGCAGACACCUGUCCUCUGGUCCGGACGGUGGCCGGCUGUCUGUGGCCCGCCAAGGGUGCUGCCUCAGCGGCUCUGUGCUUCUGCCUGUCCCAGAAGCUGUCCGGUUCUCUGGCGCACCCUCUAACCUGUUCAGACUAAUUUCCUAAGUUCUGCUGAGUCCUGGAACCUAAAGUUAUUUUUAAAACAAAACACCUUUUUUGUUGUUUGAAAAGGAAAGAAAAACAAUAAAAAGUAAAUGAUCAGACUUUGAGGUUCUGAAACAAACAAACCAACAAACAAGAAGACAAGAUAAUUGCUUCUACAUGGAGGCUGAUGUCACUUUGAAAUGAGGUGAACAGAAUUCUGUGGCCCAGACAAUGCCUGAUGUUCUACUGGUGAUUUCCAUAAAAGGGUCGUUUGCCCCACCCCCAAGGGGUCUCAACCCACAGGCUGAGAACCACUGAUCCAGUGUUUUGUCUAUGAAAAAGUACACAAAAGCAAAGAAGGUGAAUCUUCAUUGUUAAAUAUUCAUGAACAGCAGUGCAAGAAUUUCUCCCAGCAAGAUUUUGCGGAAAGGACCUGAUAUAGCUGUCUCUUGUGAGGCUAUGCCAGUGACUGGCAAAUACAGAAGUGGAUAAUCACAGUCAUCUAUAGGAUGGAACACAGGGUGCCCAGUGGAUGAGCAAGAGAAAGUACCCAAAGCUGAAGGGGUCUGUAACCCUAUAGGAGGAACAACAAUAUGAACUAACCAGUAUCCCCAGCGCUUGUGUCUCUAGCUGCAUAUGUAGCAGAAGGUGGCCUAGUCAGCCAUCAUUGGGAAGAGAGGCCCCUAGGUCUUGCAAACUUUAUAUGCCCCAGUACAGGGGAAAGCCAGGGCCAAGAAGCAGGAGUGGG
rnacentral:lncRNA from 1 species